rnacentral:rRNA from 1 species
GUACGGGGGGCAGCAGUGGGGAAUAUUGCACAAUGGGCGCAAGCCUGAUGCAGCCAUGCCGCGUGUAUGAAGAAGGCCUUCGGGUUGUAAAGUACUUUCAGCGGGGAGGAAGGGAGUAAAGUUAAUACCUUUGCUCAUUGACGUUACCCGCAGAAGAAGCACCGGCUAACUCCGUGCCAGCAGCCGCGGUAAUACGGAGGGUGCAAUCGUUAAUCGUAAUUACUGGGCGUAAAGCGCACGCAGGCGGUUUGUUAAGUCAGAUGUGAAAUCCCCGGGCUCAACCUGGGAACUGCAUCUGAUACUGGCAAGCUUGAGUCUCGUAGAGGGGGGUAGAAUUCCAGGUGUAGCGGUGAAAUGCGUAGAGAUCUGGAGGAAUACCGGUGGCGAAGGCGGCCCCCUGGACGAAGACUGACGCUCAGGUGCGAAAGCGUGGGGAGCAAACAGGAUUAGAUACCCCUGUAGUC